CAUCCACUGGCUCUCCCUUAUCCAUCCUACUUGUUACAUCCUCAAAAAAUUCCAAAAGAUUAGUCAAGUACGAGUUCCCUUUCAUAAAUCCAUGCUGACUUUGAUCGAUCCUGUCACUGUUUUCCAAAUAUAGUGCUAUUCCAUUUUUA